rnacentral:snRNA from 1 species
AUACUUACCUGGCAGGGGAGAUACCAUGAUCACGAAGGUGGUUUUCCCAGGGUGAGGCUCAUCCAUUGCACUCGGGAAGUGCUGACCCCUGCGAUUUCCCCAAAUGUGGGAAACUCGACUGCAUAAUUUGUGGUAGCGGGGGACUGCGUUUGUGCUCUUCCCUG